AGCAGCAGCCACGGGAAUACGAAGGGUGCAAGCGUUAAUCGGAAUUACUGGGCGUAAAGCGCGCGUAGGUGGUUUGGUAAGAUGGAUGUGAAAUCCCCGGGCUCAACCUGGGAACUGCAUCCAUAACUGCCUGACUAGAGUACGGUAGAGGGUGGUGGAAUUUCCUGUGUAGCGGUGAAAUGCGUAGAUAUAGGAAGGAACACCAGUGGCGAAGGCGACCACCUGGACUGAUACUGACACUGAGGUGCGAAAGCGUGGGGAGCAAACAGGAUUAGAUACCCGAGUAGUCCCUGUCUCUUAUAC
rnacentral:rRNA from 1 species